rnacentral:rRNA from 1 species
AGGGGUAUUUUGGAGCUUGCUUCAAGAGAGACCGGCGUACGGGUGCGUAACGCGUAUGCAACUUACCUGUAUCACUGGGAUAGCCCGGGGAAACCCGGAUUAAUACCGGAUAACAUAUCAGUCAGCAUUGGCAGAUAUUAAAAGAUUAAUCGGAUACAGAUAGGCAUGCGUAGGAUUAGUUAGUUGGUAAGGUAACGGCUUACCAAGACGAUGAUCCUUAGGGGGCCUGAGAGGGUGAACCCCCACACUGGAACUGAGACACGGACCAGACUCCUACGGGAGGCAGCAGUGAGGAAUAUUGGACAAUGGGUGAGAGCCUGAUCCAGCCAUCCCGCGUGAAGGACGACAGCCUAUGGGUUUUAAACUUCUUUUGUAUGGGAAUAAACCACAUUACGCGUAAUGUUCUGAAGGUACCAUACGAAUAAGCAUCGGCUAACUCCGUG